rnacentral:rRNA from 1 species
AUUGAACGCUGGCGGCGUGCCUAACACAUGCAAGUCGUGCGAGAAAGGUUCCUUCGGGAACCGAGUAAAGCGGCGCACGGGUGAGUAACACGUAGGUAACCUGCCCCUUAGUCUGGAACAACUGGAGGAAACUCCAGCUAAUGCCGGAUGAGACCACGGUUCUUUCGGGAACUGCGGCCAAAGAUGGCCUCUGCUUGCAAGCUAUCGCUGAGGGAUGGGCCUGCGGGUCAUUAGCUAGUUGGUGAGGUAAUGGCUCACCAAGGCUGUGAUGACUAGCUGGUCUGAGAGGAUGACCAGCCACACUGGGACUGAGACACGGCCCAGACUCCUACGGGAGGCAGCAGUGGGGAAUAUUGCGCAAUGGGCGAAAGCCUGACGCAGCGACGCCGCGUGGGUGACGAAGGCCUUCGGGUCGUAAAGCCCUGUCGCAGGGGAAGAACAAGCAUCGGGAUAAUACUCCGGUGCCCUGACGGUACCCUGCAAGAAAGCACCGGCUAACUCCGUGCCAGCCGCCGCGGUAA